UGAGCUUAAUGCGCACUCCUGCAAGAAAAAUCGAAUAUGAAACACACAAUGCGUUACUGUUUAUAGAUUACUCAGCACACAAAAUUCUCAAGGGGACUUGCUUCUAUUACUCACAAGUUUUACUGAUUGGCAUAAACACAUGCAGGCUCUGGAUGCUGGUCCUAAGCAAAUUGAUGAGGCAGGUGUGAGAGUUGAGCAGGAGAAUGUGAACAAGGCAUCUUCUGAUCAGAUGUUCUCCAAGUCAUGAGUAAAAAGUACCAUUCCACAAACUGUUCUAAGUUUGUGUAUGGUUUCUCGAGCUCUGCAUAUACGAAUACAAACUUGUAAAAGCCUUGAAAACCUGAAUGGUUUCAUCUCUGAAUACGGGUUAUUUAGUUAAUGCAAUGUGUACUGGAUGUUAUGGAAACUUCGAUUUGAAAUUCAAAAUAGAGAAAAAAAAUAUUUAAUGGAAUUCAAUUAUUUUUUUUCUUAAAUAAUUAGUGAUGAAAAUUGUGAUUGUUUUACCUAGAAGCAGCAUAUUGUUGGAUUUCCCAGCGUGUAUGAAGAGUAUAUUUGGACACAACACCCCUACAAAAGAUUGAAGUCUUUGAAAGUGAAAUUCACACCAGGUUCAUUGGUGACCCCUGCCACUGUGAAGCCACCCGUACUUGGAUUUCCCAGCAUGUAUAAGAAUAGGUAGACGGUUAUGGUUAUGUAUAAGAAUAGGUAGACGGUUAUUGUUUUGACAUAUUAUGUUUUUUAAAAUAUUUU
rnacentral:lncRNA from 1 species